rnacentral:rRNA from 1 species
CCUACGGGUGGCAGCAGUGGGGAAUAUUGGACAAUGGGGGGAACCCUGAUCCAGCGACGCCGCGUGAGUGAAGAAGUAUUUCGGUAUGUAAAGCUCUAUCAGCCGGGAAGAAAGAAAUGACGGUACAUGACUAAGACGCCCCGGCUAACUACGUGCCAGCAGCCGCGGUAAUACGGAGGGGCCAAGGGUAAUCCGGAUUAACGGGGGGUAAAGGGAGCGUAGACGGCGAUGCAAGUCUGAAUUGAAAGGCGGGGGCCCAACCCCCGGACUGCUUUGGAAACUGUAUGGCUGGAGUGCAGGAGAGGUAAGUGGAAUUCCUAGUGUAGCGGUGAAAUGCGUAGAUAUUAGGAGGAACACCAGUGGCGAAGGCGGCUUACUGGACUGUAACUGACGUUGAGGCUCGAAAGCGUGGGGAGCAAACAGGAUUAGAUACCCCGGUAGUC